AUACCUUAAUCAUGUGGUUGUGGGUGUUCUGGGAGGGUCCACAAUGUGCUCCCCUUGUUUAAAACCCUCACAGGCUGUCCUCUCCUCACUGUGUGGACUCAUCUUCUGAAUCCAGGUACAGACUUCAGUGCGGCUGACUUAGAGGCUAAGAUCCAUCUACAAUGGAAAGGGAGCUGUCCUGUUUGGAAGUGGGUUUGAUGGCCAUGCUGGGCGUCUUCAUGAGCAAUGAAAAUGAGGAUGGAAAAAUAACCAAGGAGCAAUUUAUGAGAAUAAUGGAGGGUGAACUGCCUGCUCUUCUGCAACGAGUUCAGAAUCGUGACAAUGUGUUCAAGCGCGUGGACGAGAACGAAGAUGGGCGUGUGGACUUCGAAGAGUUCGCCAAACUGCUUGCCGGAUUUGCCAAGGAAAACUAUGACGACAUCAAAAUGUACUUGAGCGAAGAACAGCAGAAGGCAAAAUGAAAACCCUGUAAUGAGCAUGGAAAACACUAUUGAUGGGAAGUUUACACCUUACCAUCUGACCUAUGUGGUUUCACAUCACAAUAAUAAAAGUGUUUUGAUUUAAA